rnacentral:tRNA from 1 species
GCGGAAGUGGUGGAAUGGCAGACACGCAGGUCUCAGAAGCCUGUGCCGAGAGGUGUGAGGGUUCAACUCCCUCCUUCCGCA